CGGCUCAUUUAUAAAGGAGAAAGAAAAUGAGUAAAACGAGAUGAAAAUGAUGUUUUAUCUAUUUGAUCCCUUCAGACGCAUCCUAAUUGUUACUCACUGACACAUGAAUUUAUAUUUCCUCCAGAUUACCCGUCUAACCGUUGACCCAGGAUCAGAUAAGAUGGUAUCUCUCUCAUUCCUACAGCUGAAGCAGUGAGAGUGGAGAAAAUUAUCACCAUGUACACAUGUACUUGUGCUGAUGAAGAUUGUUUUCACAGGGGGAUGCCAGAACAGGCAACUUCAGGAUUCAAGCAUACAAGAAUUUUAAUGUUUUAUGAAUAAUUUUACUCUUUCCUGGGAUAAUGUCAGAUAUUUCAAUACAUAGGG